UAUCGCGGGAACUACAAUGCCCAAAAUGCGCCAAGGUCGGACGUGCCCGGAGUGGGCGAAAGGAGCGAAGGGGACUCGGCCGCCAUGUUAGGAGUGCUGGGACGAUUCUGCGGAUCCCGGCUGAGGUUUUAGGGAGCUUGCGAGCCGAGUGGUGGUGCAGUGGGGACGAGUCUGUCUACACUGUGAAAGAUGGAAAAUUUCUUUUCCUCCUGAGGGUGUCUGAAGGGUUAAAAAUGCAAUAAUACCUUAUGCUGUUUUUCUCCCUUUUGCACAAUUAUUCUGAAAACAAAACUUGUUACUUCGGGUCAGUAAGGGUAUGCAUUUCACCUCUCUGUUAGUAAUACUACAGGUGAUGAAUGUAUUCUAUCAGGAAAGGCUAAGCAGAGUGAUUAGAAAUGAUAAAAACAUGGUAAAAACAGUCUUUCAGAUGUAUGCAGAUGACAACUUCAAAAACAUAGAAGAAUGGUCUGCCAUGUUUCUGAGAACAAGUCACAAGAUGAAAGGCUUUAUUUCAUUUUUAACAAAAGUAGUAUGUGUUGGUUUCAUUUAUCCAUGCAAUACAAUGGGAAAGACUCAUACAAAUAUUUCUGUUCAGAAAUACUGUCUUUGCAAGUAAUGGUAAGUAUAGGAAAGGGAGCAAAAUGUUUGCUGAUUUCUUUCUGACCUUCAGUAUAACUGUAGAAGUGUUUCACUUUUUUUUUUUAAUGUUUACUUAUUUUUGAGAGAGAGAAUAUGAGCAGGGGAGGGGCAGAGAGAAUGGGAGACAGGAUCGAAAGCACUGACAGCAGAGAGCCCUGCCGCUUAACCGACUGAGUCAGGUGCCCUUAAAUGUUUUACAUUUAACAGAGAAAAUUGGACAGGUUUGCAUUUAGGCUUAGUUUCAAACUCUUAAAUUAUUUUUAGGGGUUGGUGGUUCACUGGUGUGUCUUAUUUUACAAACCUUUAGUGAAUCUUGUUCGUUGUAGAAGAUAUUUCUUUAUAUAAGCAAUAACAUCCUCAAUCUGAGUUACUAUGGAAGACAAAUUUGCAAGGGCAGGGGGCAGAUUGCUUGCAAAUCUUGUAUGUGAGAAACUAGACCUAUAUGAUGCAGUGAUUUCUAUAGUGUAUAAUUUGUCAUAUGUUUAGGUAGUUUGAAGUUUUCCAGGCUUACAUCCAGUGGACAUCUAACCAUAAAGAAAUGAAACAUCUAUUUAAUAUCUUUAAAAAGACUCUGAUUUAACCUUUAACUUUUAGGGGGAAAAAGUCUGCAUCCUUCUUUAGAAAUUUUAUUUACAAAGUUAAUAUUUGAGGAAUUGGACACCAGCUUCUGAAAGAUUAGCCUCAGUGAUCCAGAGAAAGCACUGGGUUAGGUGAACGUUGAAAGGUGCGAUUAGGAAUGCUUGAGGUGGAUAAAGCAACUUAAGUUCUUUUCAUCUCAGAAAAUAAUUAGGAUAUUGAUUUGUGUUAUAAUUAUAGGUAGCUUAUUAAAGAGUAUGGAGUCAUUUGCUCUUAUGGCAGGGUUUUUUUUCAACAGCUUCAAGUGUCAGGAUCACAUAGAGAACUCUAAAAAUAUAUAGCUGAGAACUCUAAAAUAAAAUAAAAAUAUAUAGAGAACUCUAAAAAUAUAAAAUAAAACAGAUAGUUGUCCACUCAUCUGUUGAAUUAUUGUUGAAUUCUGCUAGGUUGGAACCCAUUGUGUAUUUUUAAAACUAUGAGUGAGUGGACAGUGGUAGGGUAGAGUAGUUCUCUACAUCCCAUAUUUGUGUUUAUUGUGGUGCAUUACACUAGUAAUAAUAAAAGUUUUGGCAAAGAUUA